CCCAAUAAACGCAAAUAUAUAUAUUUGAAAACCCUAACCCAGCUCUGCCGUUCCUCUCUCUUCUCUAUUCUCUACCUUCACCUUCCCCAAAACUCAACACUGAAAAUCAAUCAUGCCAAGAAGCCAUCCCCACACUGUCAGGUCCGAGAUAGAAAGAAGGCAUCACCGAACAAACCACUGUCCCAGCCGUGGCAGAGGGAGCAUUUGAUGCAAACGUACAUGACCAUUGUGGCUGAGAAGGAUGUUGCUGUCCAAGAACGUGAUAUGGCUAAAAAUUGUGCCCUGUUUUUUAUUUCUAAGUUUUUUGAUAUUUUUAUUUAUGAUUUCUACAAUUGAGUGGAUUAGGAUUGGUUAAAUUUGUACUGACUUUUUUUCAUAAUGUGAUUAAGGAGCAUUUGAUGCAAACGUACAUGACCAUUGUGGCUGCGAAGGAUGUUGCUGUCCAAGAACGUGAUAUGGCUAUCCAAGAACUAAAAAUUGUGCCCUGUUUUUUAUUUCUAAGUUUUUUGAUAUUUUUAUUUAUGAUUUCUACAAUUGGGUGGAUUAGGAUUGGUUAAAUUUGUACUGACUUUUUUUCAUAAUGUGAUUAAGGAGCAUUUGAUGCAAACGUACAUGACCAUUGUGGCUGAGAAGGAUGUUGCUGUCCAAGAACGUGAUAUGGCUAUCCAAGAACUAAAAAUUGUGCCCUGUUUUUUAUUUCUAAGUUUUUUGAUAUUUUUAUUUAUGAUUUCUACAAUUGGGUGGAUUAGGAUUGGUUAAUUUGGUUGUGUCGAUGAUUAAUUGAUUUGUUCUAAAUGGUGUUAUUUAUGAUCUUUGCUUAGGGGGCGGUCUAAUUCCUUUGUAUUACAUAUUACAUAAUAUUAUUCCGUUUUGAAUGCCUUCUCUUUUGGACAGGUAAAUGAUCCUGAAAGAGGGUUCAGUGUCCUUGGUAAUGGACCUCUUGAUAUGUGAAUGGAUCCUCAGUUUUAUAGGCUCUCUUUAGUACUGUUAGUGGAAGCAAUUGGAUUUGCUUGGUGAUUUUGUUAAAGGAGCUUACAGGUAUUGAUAUAAAUUAUUAUUAUCAUUUAAAAAUUUCCAUCAAUUAUUAAUAUACAAUGAAUCAUUGGAUGCUAUUAAAAGAGAAUUGGAUGUCAAAUUGUAGAAUAAAUUGGGGUGGGGUUAUUAUGAAAUUUAUUGACAUUAUGAGUGUUUGGUUUUACAUUUUAAAUUUUUGAUGAAUUGGUAUAAUUU